AUACUAAAGCUCGGUUGGCACUGUACACUGUUCAUCUUGGCCUGAAAUGAAGUGACGGUUUUGCCCUUGAUACUUACCUCAACCACGGUUUUGCCAUUAUUUUACGGAUGAGGCAGAUGGAGGCUUCGAGAGAGAGAGAGAGAGAGACAGCAAUUCUGAGAGGGAAGAAACCAUAGAGGUUUGGGUUCGUUUUGGAAGAGGUUCGGUUUCAGUACAGAGGGAAGGAGAGACAGAAACACUGAGAGCGAAGUAGAGGUCCAUAGCAAGAUUUGGAUCGGGUUUGGGAGGGAUCUUUUAGGAAAAGAAGAGGUGUGGCUUUAUCUGGAAGAAGUGUGUGCCUAGAUUUUGAUCGAGUUUAAGAGACAGGUUUUAGCCUUUUAGGAGCAAAAGAGAGCUUGGGCUGAACUUUUGGAGCGAAGUGCAUUGGAACUCACUAUAUGCUACUGCAGAUGUUCCCACAAGAAGUCCUAGAAAGAACCAUUGGUUUUCCUACACUGAAUUAGAAAGCUGACAGACCAUGAUAUAAUCUUAGUCUGCUUGCUGGAAAUUGGCUUUAGCUCGGGCGAUGUAUUUAUAAAAAAUAAAAUAAAAAUUUGGUCAAGGCUGCAGAUUAUGUUGAGCAGGUACAUGAUGGGAAAUUGUUGGUGAAUGGUGAAAUUCAAAAUGAAAAUUACAUAUUGAAGCCUCUUGCCUAUGAAAUGGAACCAAUCCUGGAGCAGCCAGUUUUUUGAACCAACUCCAGCAGCAACUUUAGCUACGCUAACCUAUUAUGCACAAUUACAACUGGAGCAGCUACCUUUUUUUGUUCUGGUACAACUGGAGCAACUACAUAUUUAAAUAUACUCCAGCAACAAGUUUAACUAGGUUAGCCUAUUUUUGAACAGACUUCAACUAAAAUGAAAAAUGUAAGGAAAACCCUCCGUGGUUUAAACUUAAUGACUGGAAUGUAAGUAAUUUGAAUAUCUAUGUAUUUUUGAAUGAAGUCUGCAUUACAUAUAAGUAACCUUAAAUGCUA